rnacentral:rRNA from 1 species
GUGAACGCUGGCGGUAGGCCUAACACCUGCAAGUCGAACGGCAGCACAGUAAGAGCUUGCUCUUACGGGUGGCGAGUGGCGGACGGGUGAGGAAUACAUCGGAAUCUACUUUUUCGUGGGGGAUAACGUAGGGAAACUUACGCUAAUACCGCAUACGACCUACGGGUGAAAGCAGGGGAUCUUCGGACCUUGCGCGAUUGAAUGAGCCGAUGUCGGAUUAGCUGGUUGGCGGGGUAAAGGCCCACCAAGGCGACGAUCCGUAGCUGGUCUGAGAGGAUGAUCAGCCACACUGGAACUGAGACACGGUCCAGACUCCUACGGGAGGCAGCAGUGGGGAAUAUUGGAAAAUGGGCGAAAGCCUGAGCCAGCCAUACCGCGUGGGUGAAGAAGGCCUUCGGGUUGUAAAGCCCUUUUGUUGGGAAAGAAAAGCAGCAGGUUAAUACCCCGCUGUUCGGACGGUACCCAAAGAAUAAGCACCGGCUAACUUCGU